CCUACGGGAGGCAGCAGUGAGGAAUAUUGGUCAAUGGGAGCGAGCCUGAACCAGCCAAGUAGCGUGAAGGAUGACUGCCCUACGGGUUGUAAACUUCUUUUAUAAAGGAAUAAAGUGAGGCACGUGGGCCUCUUUGUAUGUACUUUAUGAAUAAGGAUCGGCUAACUACGUGCCAGCAGCAGCGGUAAUACGGAGGAUCCGAGCGUUAUCCGGAUUUAUUGGGUUUAAAAGGAGCGUAGAUGGGUUGUUAAGUCAGUUGUGAAAGUUUGCGGCUCAACCGUAAAAUUGCAAUUGAUACUGGCAGUCUUGAGUACAGUUGAGGUAGGCGGAAUUCGUGGUGUAGCGGUGAAAUGCUUAGAUAUCACGAAGAACUCCGAUUGCGAAGGCAGCUUACUAAACUGCCACUGACAUUGAUGCUCGAAAGUGUGGGUAUCAAACAGGAUUAGAUACCCCUGUAGUC
rnacentral:rRNA from 1 species